rnacentral:tRNA from 1 species
GCAAGCGUAGUUUAAUAAGAAUAUAGCACUGAAAAUGCUAAGACAGAGCUUAAAAAUUCUCACUAGCA